rnacentral:misc_RNA from 1 species
GAUGAAGAACGUAGCGAAAUGCGAUAAGUAAUGUGAAUUGCAGAAUUCAGUGAAUCAUCGAAUCUUUGAACGCAUCUUGCGCUCCUUGGUAUUCUGAGGAGCAUGCCUGUUUGAGUGUCAUUAAAUUCUCAACUACACUGACUUUGAAUUGGUGUGGCUUGGAUUUGGGGGGAAAAAUGUUGUGGGCUUUUUGUAUAGUCUGCUCCCCUGAAAUUGAUUAGCGGUACCUUUGUGGAACUGUCUACAGGUGUGAUAAUUAUCUACAUCUUAGACAUCUGCUGGAAUGCUGCUUUCUAAACCUUACUUGUAUUGACAAUCUUGACCUCAAAUCAGGUAGGACUACCCGCUGAACUUAAGCAUAUCAAUAAGCGGAGGA